UACAGAGGUCCCAAGCGUUGUUCGGAUUCAUUGGGCGUAAAGGGUGCGUAGGCGGCGCGGUAAGUCGGGUGUGAAAUCUUGGAGCUUAACUCCGAAACUGCAUUCGAUACUGCCGUGCUUGAGGACUGGAGAGGAGACUGGAAUUUACGGUGUAGCGGUGAAAUGCGUAGAUAUCGUAAGGAAGACCAGUGGCGAAGGCGGGGUCUCUGGACAGUUCCUGACGCUGAGGCACGAAGGCCAGGGGAGCGAAACGGG
rnacentral:rRNA from 1 species